GAAUUCUGUAUAGUUUUUUUUCUUGAGGAAGAUUAGCCUUGCGCUAACAUCUGUGCCCGUCUUCCUCCAUUUUAUAUGAGGGAUGCCUGACACAGGAUGGGUUGAUGAGCGGUGCACAGGUCUGCACCUUGGAUCUGAACCAGCGAGCCCCAAGCCACUGAAGUGGAGCACACAAACUUAACUGCUACACCACUGGGCCAGCCCCCAUAGAGUCUUUUUUUAAGGGCUUCAAUCUCUUUGGUGAAUUAUUCCUUCUGUUCAUUAAUUUUAUUUCUGAGCACACUGAACUAUCUUUCUGUAUUUUCUUGUAACUCAUUGAGUUUCUUUACAACCACUAUUUUGAAUUCUCUGUCAUUCAGAUUGUAAUUUUCUGUAACUUCAGGUUUGGUUUCUGGGGACUUGUUAUUUUCCUUCUGCUCUGCAGUGGUACUGUAGUUCUUCAUGGUGUUUGAUGAAUUGAUCCUCUGCUGGUGCAUGUGUUGAUGUCUAUGAAAUUUCAUAUCUUAUCUGAGGCAUUAUGAAAGAUCAACAGUAGGGGCAAAGAAUAUUUAAGGACAUAAUGUCUAAUGAAUCACGGAAACUUUAUUAUACAAUAUUAAUAUCUUAUUUAGCAGCAUACAUUAGAAACAGAUGCAAUUAGGGACAAGAGGAACUCAUUUUCAUUGUGUUCCUGGUUUCUGUCAAAUAGGAUGAGUGAUAUAUGGAAACUGUAAAAUUUACCUUAGAAAACUCUGCUUGCCCAGAUUGUGAUUGAGAUAAAGUUUAAAAAAUGAUACAGUAUUUGUUGACUGUAAGUUUUGCUAGUUGUAAAAAGGAUGUUUUAGAAAAGGUGGUUAUGUUGAUGUCUUGUGUAAUCCAAAUUAUGUUCAUAUGAGCAAUAUUCAUGUUUUUCUUUUAAAAAAUUAAAUGGGCUACUAUUUAUAUAUAUUCAUUGUUCCAAAACACUAAAACAGAAGUUAGGAAAAAAAAGAUGAGCAUGAAAAUUCUCCUGGAAAACAAUCUGUCACUCAGAAACUCUUAUUUUGAUUCAUUUAAAUGUGUUUGUAUGUAUGUGUCUUUCAGGGAAGGGCCUCCCUGGAAGAAGGCCAGACUCAGGAGCCAUGCCAUGCCCCCCGAUCAUCUGAAGCCCCAUCUAUGCCAUACCUUAAGGCCACAAGUCUCUCUCAGCCCUGAAGUCCUUGCUGCUCUUUCUACCAUCUGCUCUAUCCAGCCACUUUCAAGUCUAGACUACUUGAGCCUUCUUUGGAUUAUACAAGCUCAAACUGGUUCUGAACUGAGGAGUACCCCUGGAAGGAACACAUUCAAGGUUGUCCUUCUAAUGUCUGGCUUGCUGACCUCUCCUUGAUGUGAACAACAUAAUAAUUUCAUGUAUGUAUACACUGUGAAAUAAUUGCCAUAAUUCAGUUAGGUUACACAUCCGUCACUUCAUAUAGUUACAGUUUAUUUUUGGUGUGAACUUUUAAGAGCUACUCUCUUAGCAACUUUCAAAUAUAUAAUACAGUAUAGUUAACUGUGGUCACCAUGUUGUACAUUACAUUCCCAGAACAUAUUCGUCUUAUUACUGG
rnacentral:lncRNA from 1 species